GGCUGGUCCGAAGGUAGUGAGUUAUUUCACUUAAUCAUUCACAAUCAGUUACAGAUUGAACUCCUUGUUCUGCUACUUUCCCCCCUCCUCACUACUGCACUUGACUAGUCUUAA
rnacentral:Y_RNA from 1 species